AAUCAACGCUGGCGGCGUGCCUCAGACAUGCAAGUCGAACGCGAAAGCCCCCUUCGGGGGGCAAGUAGAGUGGCGCACGGGUGAGUAACACGUAGGUAAUCUACCUUUGGAUUGGGAAUAACAACCGGAAACGGUUGCUAAUACCGAAUAAUGCAGCGGCACCUAAUGGUGACAGUUGUUAAAGCGGGGGAUCGCAAGACCUCGCGUCUGAAGAGGAGCCUGCGGCAGAUUAGCUAGUUGGUAAGGUAACGGCUUACCAAGGCGAUGAUCUGUAGCCGGCCUGAGAGGGCGGUCGGCCACACUGACACUGACAUACGGGUCAGACUCCUACGGGAGGCAGCAGUCGGGAAUUUUGGGCAAUGGGCGAAAGCCUGACCCAGCAACGCCGCGUGAAGGAUGAAAUCCUUCGGGAUGUAAACUUCGCAAGAACGGGAAGAAUAAGUAAGAGUUAAUAUCUCUUACGAUGACGGUACUGUUUGUAAGCUCCGGCUAACUCCGUGCCAGCAGCCGAC
rnacentral:rRNA from 1 species